AUACGGAGGGUGCAAGCGUUAAUCGGAAUUACUGGGCGUAAAGCGUACGUAGGCGGUUCGUUAAGUUAGAUGUGAAAGCCCCGGGCUUAACCUGGGAACUGCAUUUAAAACUGGCGGACUAGAGUUGAGUAGAGGGGAGUGGAAUUUCAGGUGUAGCGGUGAAAUGCGUAGAGAUCUGAAGGAACACCAGUGGCGAAGGCGACUCCCUGGACUAGAACUGACGCUGAGGUACGAAAGCGUGGGUAGCAAACAGGAUUAGAAACCCGAGUAGUCC
rnacentral:rRNA from 1 species